UACGUAGGGGCCGAGCGUUGUCCGGAGUUACUGGGCGUGAAGCGCGCGCAGGCGGCUGGCUUUGCCCGGCGUGAAAGCCCCCGGCUCAACCGGGGAGGGUCGUCGGGGACGGGUCAGCUUGAGGCCGGCAGGGGCAGGUGGAAUUCCCGGUGUAGUGGUGAAAUGCGUAGAGAUCGGGAGGAACACCCGUGGCGAAGGCGGCCUGCUGGGCCGGAUCUGACGCUGAGGCGCGAAGGCGUGGGGAGCGAACGGG
rnacentral:rRNA from 1 species